rnacentral:tRNA from 1 species
GGAGAGGUCGCAUAGUUUGGCCGAGUGCGCACGCUUGGAAAGCGUGUAUACCGCAAGGUAUCGAGGGUUCGAAUCCCUCUCUCUCCG